AAGUCGAACGAAGUAGCAAUACUUAGUGGCAGACGGGUGAGUAACAUGCGGGUAUCUGCCCUUUGGCCUGGAAUAACACGAGGAAACUUGUGCUAAUACCGGAUAAGUCUUUACGGAGAAAGCUUUAUGCACCAUUGGAUGAGCCUGCACUUGAUUAGUUUGUUGGUGGGGUAAUGGCCUACCAAGACUGUGAUCAAUAGCUGAUUUGAGAGGAUGAUCAGCCACAUUGGGACUGAGACACGGCCCAAACUCCUACGGGAGGCAGCAGUGGGGAAUCUUGCACAAUGGAGGAAACUCUGAUGCAGCGAUGCCGCGUGAGUGAAGAAGGCCUUUGGGUUGUAAAGCUCUUUCGUCGGGGAAGAAAAUGACUGUACACGAAUAAGAAGGUCCGGCUAACUUCGUGCCAGCAGCCGCGGUAAUACGAAGGGACCUAGCGUAGUUCGGAAUUACUGGGCUUAAAGAGUUCGUAGGUGGUUGAAAAAGUUAGUGGUGAAAUCCCAGAGCUUAACUCUGGAACUGCCAUUAAAACUUUUCAGCUAGAGUAUGAUAGAGGAAAGCAGAAUUUCUAGUGUAGAGGUGAAAUUCGUAGAUAUUAGAAAGAAUACCAAUUGCGAAGGCAGCUUUCUGGAUCAUUACUGACACUGAGGAACGAAAGCAUGGGUAGCGAAGA
rnacentral:rRNA from 1 species